rnacentral:rRNA from 1 species
CCAAUAGCGUAUAUUAAAGUUGUUGCAGUUAAAAAGCUCGUAGUUGAAUUUCGGGAUCAAUAUAUUGGUCAUGCUUAGGUAUGUACUGGUAUUAUUGAUUUCUCCCUUCUGAAGAACCAUGAUGCCAUUAAUUUGAUGUCGUGGGGAAUCAGGACUGUUACUUUGAAAAAAUUAGAGUGUUUAAAGCAGGCUUUCGCUUGAAUACAUUAGCAUGGAAUAAUGAAAUAGGACGUUUGAUUCUAUUUUGUUGGUUUCUAGGAUCGACGUAAUGAUUAAUAGGGAUAGUUGGGGGCAUUAGUAUUCAAUUGUCAGAGGUGAAAUUCUUGGAUUUAUUGAAGACUAACUACUGCGAAAGCAUUUGCCAAGGAUGUUUUCAUUAAUCAAGAACGAAAGUUAGGGGAUCGAAGACGAUCAGAUACCGUCGUAGUCUUAACCAUAAACUAUGCCGACUAGGGAUCGGAUGAUGUUAAUUUUUUAAUGACUCAUUCGGCGCCUUACG